rnacentral:rRNA from 1 species
UACAGAGGUCCCAAGCGUUGUUCGGAUUCACUGGGCGUAAAGGGUGCGUAGGUGGUGAGGUAAGUCGGAUGUGAAAGCUCGGAGCUCAACUCCGAAAUGGCAUUGGAAACUACCUUGCUCGAGGGUUGGAGGGGGGACUGGAGUACUUGGUGUAGCAGUGAAAUGCGUAGAUAUCAAGUGGAACACCAGUGGCGAAGGCGAGUCCCUGGACAACUCCUGACACUGAGGCACGAAAGCUAGGGGAGCAAACAGG